AGUACCGCUGCAUGUUUUAUAAUGUUUUUCUAAUGUAGUUCUAAGUAUAAUAUCACAUUCACGGUGUAAUGUUUUCCAGCAUUUCCCGAAAUUACUUUACUGCAGCAUCCUGUCAUGAUUAUACCUGACAUUUUUGUAAUAUAUAUAAUAUACGGCUUAAAUGGUUUUAUUUUUAAGCGCGGAGAUUAAAUGGUACGGAUGUUAUUUUUACUUUAUUAUUAUUACUAGCUUCUUCAUACACUUAUUUACUCAUUAUUAAAUAUCUUCCUUAUUUAUAUUUCCUCUUAUAUUUAGAUUUUCUCUUACACCUGUUUACUUAUUAUUUAUUAUUUACUUCGUUCAUACCUCGUUCGCUUCUCUGUUCCUUUAUAUUCCAGAGACAUUCUUUCCCUUCCCUUCUUUCAUUCCUUCCCUUCUCUUCCCUUCCCUUCCAUUCCUCACAUUCUUUCCUUUACAUACCUUCCUUUUCUUUUCUUUCCUUUACCUUCAUUCCCUUUCCUUUCCCUCUUCUUCCUCCAUGUAUUAAUUAUUUCCCAUCUUCCCCUAUCCUUCUUGUUUUCUUUUGGUACUUCUUCCCUUCCUUACUUUUCUUCCAUCAUUUUAUUAUUCGCAUACUUUCCAAUCUUUCCUGUGUCUCCUUUCGUACUUCUCUCCUCUCUUUCUUAGUCUUCCUUUCCCUUCAUCUUCCUAUUCUUUUACCCAUGCUCCUCUUUUCUCCCCCUUUCUCACCAUCACGUCUUUUCCUCCUUCCUUUCUUUCCCUCUAUUUCUUGCUUUCGUUUCAGACCCUAACAGAAAUCGAUCUCAAGGAUGCGGGCGCAGGCGGAAGGAUGGAAGAGGGAGGGAAGGAAAACGAGGAAGAAGCCAAGGGGGUCAGAACGAAGCGGAAAAAAGUCAAGAGGAAAAGAAUAAAGGAGGGAAGGUGAGGUGGUGGCAGACCCUGCCACUGCACCACUACUGCUUCCGUCUUCACCAGUGUGAGGUGCGGCGAGGAUGGUGUUUGUCCCGCAGGCAGCUGAUGCCUCAGGUAACGACACGAGGCUCCAGAAAAGAGUGGCGCGAUACAUAAGAGUGUGUAAGAAGUUUGGCAGCCUCCCUGUGUCUCGUGUGUCGCGGGGCCGCCAUGCAGGUCUUCCCUCGCUCCGUGAUGAGGUGGUGCAGCGCCUCGGCAAAGUUAUUCUGCAAGUCUCAAACAUGAAAGCCGCGCAGACCAAAGCCACUUCAUGGAGCCCUCACGCCAGCUGCUUUAGAUUGGCCCCGCUGCUCCACCUAACACAACCACCCCGCCCAUCCAUGGUUGGGUACAGAGCACCACCUGGUGUUCUGCUGUCUAUAGAAAUUCAUUAUACAUUUCUCUCUCCCUCUCUCUCUCUCUCUCUCUCUCUCUCUCUCUCUCUCUCUCUCUCUCUCUCUCUCUCUCUCUCUCUCUCUCUCUCUCUCUCUCUCUCUCUCUCUCUCUCUCUCUCUCUCUCUCUCUCUCUCUCUCUCUCUCUCUCUCUCUCUCUCUCUCACAUACACACACACACACACACACACACACACACACACACACACACACACACACACACACACACACACACACACACACACACACACACACACCUUUGCUUAUAUCAACCCCCGUCACACGCAGUUUUAUAGAUAUCCAAUCACUCGUGAAAUGUAAUAUGACACUCAAUGGUGGAAACAAAUCACAGAUGGUGAC